rnacentral:rRNA from 1 species
CCUACGGUGGCAGCAGUGGGGAAUAUUGGACAAUGGGCGAAAGCCUGAUCCAGCCAUGCCGCGUGUGUGAAGAAGGCCUUCGGGUUGUAAAGCACUUUCAGUGGGGAAGAAAGCCUUGGGGCUAAUACCCUCGAGGAAGGACAUCACCCACAGAAGAAGCACCGGCUAACUCCGUGCCAGCAGCCCGGUAAUACGGAGGGUGCGAGCGUUAAUCGGAAUUACUGGGCGUAAAGCGCGCGUAGGCGGUCUGAUAAGCCGGUUGUGAAAGCCCCGGGCUCAACCUGGGAACGGCAUCCGGAACUGUCAGGCUAGAGUGCAGGAGAGGAAGGUAGAAUUCCCGGUGUAGCGGUGAAAUGCGUAGAGAUCGGGAGGAAUACCAGUGGCGAAGGCGGCCUUCUGGACUGACACUGACGCUGAGGUGCGAAAGCGUGGGUAGCAAACAGGAUUAGAUACCCCAGUAGUC